rnacentral:rRNA from 1 species
AGUGAACGCUGGCGGCAGGCCUAACACAUGCAAGUCGAACGAAAGCAUAGUAAGAGUUUGCUCCUACGGGUGGCGACUGGCGGAUGGGUGAGGCGUACAUAGGCAUCUACUAUUUCGGGGGGGAUAACGUAGAGACACUUCUGCUAACACCGAAUAUGAUCAACGGGAGAAAGCAGGGGAUCUUCGGGGCUUUCGCGAUUGUAUGAGCUGACGUCGGACUAGCUAGUUGGCGAGGUAAGGGCCCACCAAGGCGACGAUCCGUAGCUGGUCUGAGAGGAUGAUCGGCCACACUGGAACUGAGACACGGUCCAGACUCCUACGGGAGGCAGCAGUGGGGAAUCUUGGGCAAUGGGCGAAAGCCUGACGGAGCAACGCCGCGUGGGUGAUGAAGGCCUUCGGAUUGUAAAGCUCUUUUAUUGGGAAAGAAAAACAGCGUAAUUAUACCCGGAUGUUCUGACGGUACCUAAAGAGUAAGCACCGGCUAACUUCGUG